GAACGGGUGAGUAACACGUGGGUGAUCUGCCCUGCACUUUGGGAUAAGCCUGGGAAACUGGGUCUAAUACCGAAUAGGACCACGCGCUUCAUGGUGUGUGGUGGAAAGCCUUUGCGGUGUGGGAUGGGCCCGCGGCCUAUCAGCUUGUUGGUGGGGUAAUGGCCUACCAAGGCGACGACGGGUAGCCGGCCUGAGAAGGUGACCGGCCACACUGGGACUGAGAUACGGCCCAGACUCCUACGGGAGGCAGCAGUGGGGAAUAUUGCACAAUGGGCGCAAGCCUGAUGCAGCGACGCCGCGUGAGGGAUGACGGCCUUCGGGUUGUAAACCUCUUUCAAUAGGGACGAAGCGCAAGUGACGGUACCUAUAGAAGAAGCACCGGCCAACUACGUGCCAGCAGCCGCGGUAAUACGUAGGGUGCGAGCGUUGUCCGGAAUUACUGGGCGUAAAGAGCUCGUAGGUGGUUUGUCGCGUUGUUCGUGAAAACUCACAGCUUAACUGUGGGCGUGCGGGCGAUACGGGCAGACUAGAGUACUGCAGGGGAGACUGGAAUUCCUGGUGUAGCGGUGGAAUGCGCAGAUAUCAGGAGGAACACCGGUGGCGAAGGCGGGUCUCUGGGCAGUAACUGACGCUGAGGAGCGAAAGCGUGGGGAGCGAACAGGAUUAGAUACCCUGGUAGUCCACGCCGUANACGGUGGGUACUAGGUGUGGGUUCCUUCCUUGGGAUCCGUGCCGUAGCUAACGCAUUAAGUACCCCGCCUGGGGAGUACGGCCGCAAGGC
rnacentral:rRNA from 1 species